rnacentral:rRNA from 1 species
CCUGAGAAACGGCUACCACAUCCAAGGAAGGCAGCAGGCACGCAAAUUACCCAAUCCCAGCUCUGGGAGGUAGUGACGAAAAAUAACAAUGCGGGACUCUUUUGAGUCUGCGUAAUUGGAAUGAGUCCACUUUAAAUCCUUUAGCAACAACCAAUUGGAGGGCAAGUCUGGUGCCAGCAGCCGCGGUAAUUCCAGCUCCAAUAGCGUAUAUUAAAGUUGUUGCGGUUAAAAAGCUCGUAGUUCGAGGUCAGUUCCGGACUGGUGUGGGAGGUCACCGCCCGGUGCUUCCCCGUCAGGCUCCGAACAGCUUCCUUGUGUGGAAGCCAAGCCGGUUCUGCCGGGGUGCUCUUUACCGAGUGUCCCGCGCGGCCGGCCAGUUCACCUUGAAUAAAUGAGAGUGCUCAAAGCAGGCUACUCUGGAAUACAAUGCCCGAAUGUUAGCUGCAUGG